AUGCAAAACUCUAGGGAAAAUCAUGUAAAUUGUUUGUGAUUAUUUUUGACUAAAAAUAUUGACUUUGUGUUAAAUGUGAGUGUGUGUAUGAUAGUAAGAUCAGUAGAUAAAAUUUUAAUUAGGUAUUAAAUGCAUUAUAGGCACUUUUUAGCAUGGUGUUUAGGAUUACCUUAUUUUUUUUAGUAUUUAUUCAAUGUAAUCACAAAACAAGCCCAACUAGGGGUUGCCACUUAUAGUGUUAUUACUUGACAUUAUUAUCAAUACAGAUGUGGGGAGUCAUGUGUGGACAACUGGGGAGUCAGUGAACAUAUUUGGUUAACUUUCUUAAACUCUUCCAAACUUAAAAAAAUGAUUCACCUUUAACUUAGUUUUAACUUUAUCAUCUACAAAAAAAUCAGAAGUGUGACUCAUAUACAAUGUCACUCAUAAAUAAAUAGUGUGAUUACUUGAUAUUACUACCAAUACAGAUGUGGGGAGUCAUGUGAGGACAACCGGGGAGUUGGAAAACAUAUCUGGUUAACUGUCUUAAAAUNNNNNNNNNNNNNNNNNNNNNNNNNNNNNNNNNNNNNNNUCAUCAUUUGUAAACAAUCAGAAGUGUGUCACAUAUACAAUGUCACUGGUGAACAAAUUGUGAGAUUCCUUAAAAUAAUAACCAAUACAGAUUUGGGGAGUCAUGUAUAGAUAACUCGGGAGUUGGGAAACAAAUUUGGCUAACUGUCUUAAGGAUAAACAGAGCUUCAGAUAACAAAUUGCAACAAGGAGAGUGAGAAAGAGAUCACAUUGCAGCGAGGAGAGCGAGAGAUCGCACGCAGUGAGUAGAGCGAGAGACAUAACAAGACACAUACAAGAAGGCGAGAGAUCUGAUUGUUAGUAGAUGAUAAAGUUAAAACAAAGUUAAAUGUGAACGAUUUUUUCAAAUUUGG
rnacentral:lncRNA from 1 species